rnacentral:lncRNA from 1 species
UAUUGAUCAGAAUGUCUUUCUCAGAAAUGUUAGGCAUCUUUUAUAAGUAAUUACUGAUAUUUGCAUCAAGCCAUCAAUGCAAAACACAUCAAUAUCUAUAAUAUAUUUAUUAUUAACAAUUAUUGCUUUAAAAUAUUUAUUGAUAAGGAAUACCAUGGUUUAUAUUUUUCUAUAAAUGAUCAAAAUAGUUCAUGUUUAUUUCAUACUCUUCUGUGCCAGAUGCUAUUCUAAGUACUUUGCAUACAAUAAUUAAUUUAGUCCUCAAAACAAUAGUAUGGAUUGGGUAUUUUCACCUCCUUGCUUUUAACAGAUGUGGAAAACUAAGGCUUGGAGAAUUUAAGAAACUUGCCCAGGAUCACACAAAUAUAACAUGGAAAAGUCAGAACAUUCAGUCCUACCAUAGUCUUUUUGAAAAGUUGCCUAGUAUUCCAUAGUGUGG